GCGUGAGUGAUGAAGGCCCUAGGGUUGUAAAGCUCUUUUACCUGGGAAGAUAAUGACGGUACCAGGAGAAUAAGCCCCGGCUAACUUCGUGCCAGCAGCCGCGGUAAUACGAAGGGGGCUAGCGUUGUUCGGAUUUACUGGGCGUAAAGCGCACGUAGGCGGACGCUUAAGUCAGGGGUGAAAUCCCGAGGCUCAACCUCGGAACUGCCUUUGAUACUGGGUGUCUUGAGUCCGGGAGAGGUGAGUGGAACUGCGAGUGUAGAGGUGAAAUUCGU
rnacentral:rRNA from 1 species